rnacentral:rRNA from 1 species
CUGAACCAGCCAAGUAGCGUGAAGGAUGAAGGCUCUAUGGGUCGUAAACUUCUUUUAUAUAAGAAUAAAGUGCAGUAUGUAUACUGUUUUGUAUGUAUUAUAUGAAUAAGGAUCGACUAACUCCGUGCCAGCAGCCGCGGUAAUACGGAGGAUCCGAGCGUUAUCCGGAUUUAUUGGGUUUAAAGGGAGCGUAGGUGGACUGGUAAGUCAGUUGUGAAAGUUUGCGG